UUUGAUCCUGGCUCAGAACGAACGCUGGCGGCAGGCUUAACACAUGCAAGUCGAACGCUCGUAGCAAUACGGGAGUGGCAGACGGGUGAGUAACGCGUGGGAACAUACCCUUUGGUUCGGAAUAACUGAGAGAAAUUUCAGCUAAUACCGGAUGUGCCCUUCGGGGGAAAGAUUUAUCGCCAAAGGAUUGGCCCGCGUCUGAUUAGCUAGUUGGUGAGGUAACGGCUCACCAAGGCGACGAUCAGUAGCUGGUCUGAGAGGAUGAUCAGCCACACUGGGACUGAGACACGGCCCAGACUCCUACGGGAGGCAGCAGUGGGGAAUAUUGGACAAUGGGGGCAACCCUGAUCCAGCCAUGCCGCGUGAGUGAUGAAGGCCUUAGGGUUGUAAAGCUCUUUCGUCAGGGAAGAUAAUGACGGUACCUGAAGAAGAAGCCCCGGCUAACUUCGUGCCAGCAGCCGCGGUAAU
rnacentral:rRNA from 1 species